UACGUAGGGUGCAAGCGUUAAUCGGAAUUACUGGGCGUAAAGCGUGCGCAGGCGGUUUUGUAAGUCUGUCGUGGAAUCCCCGGGCUCAACCUGGGAAUUGCGAUGGAGACUGCAAGGCUAGAAUCUGGCAGAGGGGGGUAGAAUUCCACGUGUAGCAGUGAAAUGCGUAGAGAUGUGGAGGAACACCCGUGGCGAAGGCGGCUCUCUGGGACGGUACUGACGCUGAGACGGCGAAAAGC
rnacentral:rRNA from 1 species